GUUCCCUUAUCUUUUCCUUUCUUAUCUCUUUGCGUUGCCCGCCAUUAAAGAUCUCGUCCGAGCUCACGCCCCUUCCCUACUCUAUGUUUCUAUCUUCAGACCUUCCCCAUCUGCCGUGGGCUGCCACAAAACCGGCACACAGCACCGCGCACUGCUACAUCGAUGAACCCAAUGUGGCUGGUGCUACAAACCACGGUGGUCGAUGCUAAGAGAUGCCGCUACCACGGCGUGUGGAGCUGGAACCGGCGUGGCGAGGUGCUACAACCAAACACGUCCGUGCUGCAACCAGCACAUAGCAGCGCUGGGAUCGACGUGUCGCGGUGCUACAACCAGUGCACGGCGGCGACGAUGGCGCCCACGGGAUGGUGACGGUGCUUGAACCGGGCAGCGGGAUGCUGGAACCAUUGGUGGUUUUUGCUUCUACCGGCAUCAUUUUUUGCUGGAGCCUAGUGUAGAUUUUUUUGCUGGGACGGUGGUGUUUUUCCUACAAUUGAUUUUGAUUUUUGCUGGAACCAGCAUUUGGUUUUGCUGGAACUGGCUCAUGUGAUUGCUUCCACCAGCGAGGUGGUGCUCAUGCUGAUUUUUUUUGCUGCAUUCUUUCUUGUUUUUUUGCUGGAAAUAGUAUUUGUUUCUGCUGGAACUGGCCAGGGGAUUUCCUUUAACCGGUGAGAAGGUGCUGGGUGGCGACGAUGGUGACUGUGUUAGUAUUUUUGCUACAACAUUUGUGUUUUAUGCUGGAAACAACAAUUGAUUUUGCUGGUACCGGCCGAAGUAGAGACUAUUGUUGCAACUGUCCAGCGGGGCAAGCGGCCCCCUUGUGCUACGCCUGCGAGCCGGCGAGCGGCGGGUUGGGGGCGAUACGGUGGAUCUAAAGCGAGGUGGAUCUGAAGUGAGGAAGAAGAAGGGGACGCGCGUGGGAUAGCUCAAUGAAUCGUGUGGUCCUGGGGAUGCUAAUCGUGCAGCUGCGCGGAGUCCGGCCGAACAGUUGGGCCGGCACGCCGGCGCCUAACAGCGCCCAACAAAUUUUCCGUGGACCCUUCCCAUUACUAUCGCCGAAAAGCCCCACCCAACCACUGCUCCUGAGCUCUCUCUCUCUCCCAUUUCUCUCUCAUGGUGUGCGACGCUCUCUCGUGCUUUCCGACGACGGACGGAUGACUAACGUUGCUAAGCAAUUCUUGGUGCAGAUCCUCUGGGCGAGCGUUCGCCACCAAGGACGCACACUGCUAGCCGCGGCCUCAAAAACGGGGCCGCCACAUUCAAUCUCGGCUCUGUCACCACCCCAAUGCUCUGCUCUACUUCAGUCUACCAGCACUACCACGAGCUGACUGCAGCAAGGUUCUCGUGUCUCUCAAGCGGGACUCGGUUCUGCCCCCGGUUCCAUUAAAUUUCGCCCAAAUCCACAGGAAGCAGUCAACACGGAUGGGUCGAAACUCAAGAUCCAGUGGCAGGGAGACCGUCGUCCAUGUCGCCAGCUCCGAUCAGGUGCUAGCUUUGCAUGUAUCAAAUUUUGCUCCUUUAAUUUCUUUGAAGCGGGUGCGGUGCGGCCUUGCGGGAGCAACCGACCUGCCGGCCAGCGGGUCAUCUCGUCGUCUCCGAUGUCUUCCGUGCCUGAUGUGCUCCCGUAAAGUGUAGGUCACCUGAAUUUCUUCUAAGCGGUUCUAUUGCCAGAUCCAUUUCCAUGGUGACGGACGUCGUUGGCCAUUAUGUGAACUAUUGUUGAACACUUUUUUCCCUGAAAUUCCUGCUCCUUGGCCACUAGCCAGAUGGUAUAACCGGAGCUGUUCCGGUGGUUGGAUUUGCCGGGUCAUGCAGAAACUCUAAUGAAAUUCUUUUUUCUCUUCAUGGGCAGUGCAUUUUGUUUCUAAUCAAAUUCUUUUUUCUCUCCA